AAUCAACGCUGGCGGCGUGCCUAACACAUGCAAGUCGAACGCGACUUGGGCUUCGGCCUAAGUUGAGUGGCGAACGGGUGAGUAACACGUGGGUGACCUACCUUCGAGUGGGGGAUAACGUCCCGAAAGGGACGCUAAUACCGCAUAACAUCCUGCCUUUGAACAGGUGGAGAUCAAAGCCGGGGAUCGCAAGACCUGGCGCUUGAUGAGGGGCCCGCGCCUGAUUGGCUAGUUGGUGGGGUAAUGGCCUACCAAGGCGACGAUCAGUAUCCGGCCUGAGAGGGCGGACGGACACACUGGGACUGAGACACGGCCCAGACUCCUACGGGAGGCAGCAGUGGGGAAUUGUUCGCAAUGGGCGCAAGCCUGACGACGCAACGCCGCGUGGAGGAUGAAGGCCUUCGGGUUGUAAACUGCUUUUGUACGGAACGAAAAGGUUUGGCCUAAUAAGCUGAGCUCAUGACGGUACCGUAAGAAUAAGCACCGGCUAACUACGUGCCAGCCGCCGCAGUAA
rnacentral:rRNA from 1 species